rnacentral:rRNA from 1 species
UAGGGAAUCUUCGGCAAUGGGGGGAACCCUGACCGAGCAACGCCGCGUGAGUGAAGAAGGUUUUCGGAUCGUAAAGCUCUGUUGUUAAGGAAGAACGAGUGUGAGAAUGGAAAGUUCAUACUGUGACGGUACUUAACCAGAAAGGGACGGCUAACUACGUGCCAGCAGCCGCGGUAAUACGUAGGUCCCGAGCGUUGUCCGGAUUUAUUGGGCGUAAAGCGAGCGCAGGCGGUUAGAUAAGUCUGAAGUUAAAGGCAGUGGCUCAACCAUUGUAGGCUUUGGAAACUGUUUAACUUGUGGGUAGAAGGGGAGAGUGGAAUUCCAGGUGUGGCGGUGAAAUGCGUAGAAAUAUGGAGGAACACCGGUGGCGAAAGCGACUCUCUGGUCUGUAACUGACGCUGAGGCUCGAAAGCGGGGGGAGCGAACAGG